rnacentral:rRNA from 1 species
AGUGAACGCUGGCGGCAGGCCUAACACAUGCAAGUCGAGCGGCAGCGGGUCCUUCGGGAUGCCGGCGAGCGGCGGACGGGUGAGGAAUGCAUCGGAAUCUGCCCUGUCGUGGGGGAUAACCUAGGGAAACUUAGGCUAAUACCGCAUACGACCCACGGGUGAAAGCGGGGGAUCGCAAGACCUCGCGCGAUAGGAUGAGCCGAUGUCCGAUUAGCUAGUUGGCGGGGUAAAGGCCCACCAAGGCGACGAUCGGUAGCUGGUCUGAGAGGAUGAUCAGCCACACUGGGACUGAGACACGGCCCAGACUCCUACGGGAGGCAGCAGUGGGGAAUAUUGGACAAUGGGCGCAAGCCUGAUCCAGCCAUGCCGCGUGGGUGAAGAAGGCCUUCGGGUUGUAAAGCCCUUUUGUCCGGGAAGAAAUCGUCUGGGCUAAUACCCCGGGCGGACGACGGUACCGGAAGAAUAAGCACCGGCUAACUUCGUG